UCCUGUUGAUCCUGCAGGAGGCUGCUGCUAUCAGGAUUCGACUAAGCCAUGCAAGUUCAGGGGGUCUUCGGACCACCGGCGAAAUGCUCAGUAACACGUUGUUAAUCUGCCCUUAGGUCUGGGAUAACCCCGGGAAACUGAGGCUAAUACCGGAUAUGAUGCCAGUUCUGGAAAGAAGUGCAUCUUAAAGAUUACGCCUAAGGAUGAGACAGCGGCUGAUUAGGCUGUUGGUGGGGUAACGGCCCACCAAACCUAUGAUCAGUAGGGGCCUUGAGAGAGGUAGCCCCGAGAAGGGAACUGAGAUACUGUCCCUAGCCCUACGGGGUGCAGCAGGCGCGAAACCUUUACAAUGCACGAAAGUGUGAUAAGGGGAUCCUGAGUGCUCAUGUUUACAUGGGCUUUUGUUAAGUGUAAAUAACUUGGCGAAUAAGUGGUGGGCAAUACCGGUGCCAGCCGCCGCGGUAACACCGGAGCCACAAGUGGGAGCCGCUAUUAUUGGGCCUAAAGCGUCCGUAGCCGGUCUGGCCAAUCUUUUGUGAAAUUGUCGGGCUCAACCUGACAGCGUGCAGAAGACACUACCAGACUAGGGACCGGGAGGAGUCAGAGGUAUUUCGGGGGGAGCGGUAAAAUGUUAUAAUCCUCGAAGGACCACCUAUGGCGAAGGCAUCUGACCAGAACGGAUCCGACGGUGAGGGACGAAAGCCAGGGGAGCAAACCGGAUUAGAUACCCGAGUAGUCCUGGCUGUAAACGCUGCGAGCUAGGUGUUGCGUAUUCUUCGUGGAUGCGCAGUAUCGGAGCGAAGGUGUUAAGCUCGCCGCCUGGGAAGUACGGUCGCAAGGCUGAAACUUAAAGGAAUUGGCGGGGGAGCACUACAAGGGGUGCGGCGUGCGGUUUAAUCUAACUCAACACAGAGAAUCUCACCAAGGGCGACGGCAGUAUGAAAGUCAGUCUAAAGGGCUUACUUGACGAGCCGAGAGGUGGUGCAUGGCGGCCGUCAGCUCGUGCCGUAAGGUGUCACUUUAAGUGGUGUAACGAGCGAGACCUGCGUUUACAAUUGCCAGCGAGUGCUUUUGCAUGAUCGGGCACAUUGUAGAGACUGCCUUGGAAACGAGGAGGAAGGUGCAGGCUACGGUACGUCUGUAUGCCCCGAAUCUCUUGGGCUACACGCGCGCAACAAUGGUAGGGACAAUGGGCUGCAACUCCGAAAGGAGAAGCUAAUCCUCGAAACCCUAUCUAAGUCCAGAUUGAGGUUUGUAACUCAGCCUCAUGACGCUGGAAUCCCUAGUAAUCGGGUAUCAUCAGUACCCGGUGAAUACGUCCCUGCUCCUUGCACACACCGCCCGUCAAACCACUCGAGCAGGGUUUAGAUGAGGCUUAGUUUUCUUGAUUAAGUCGAAUCUAAGCUCAGUGAGAAGGGUUAAGUCGUCACAAGGUA
rnacentral:rRNA from 1 species